rnacentral:rRNA from 1 species
AUUGAACGCUGGCGGCAGGCCUAACACAUGCAAGUCGAACGGUAACAGGAAGAAGCUUGCUUCUUUGCUGACGAGUGGCGGACGGGUGAGUAAUGUCUGGGAAACUGCCUGAUGGAGGGGGAUAACUACUGGAAACGGUAGCUAAUACCGCAUAACGUCGCAAGACCAAAGAGGGGGACCUUCGGGCCUCUUGCCAUCGGAUGUGCCCAGAUGGGAUUAGCUAGUAGGUGGGGUAACGGCUCACCUAGGCGACGAUCCCUAGCUGGUCUGAGAGGAUGACCAGCCACACUGGAACUGAGCAACGGUCCAGACUCCUACGGGAGGCAGCAGUGGGGAAUAUUGCACAAUGGGCGCAAGCCUGAUGCAGCCAUGCCGCGUGUAUGAAGAAGGCCUUCGGGUUGUAAAGUACUUUCAGCGGGGAGGAAGGGAGUAAAGUUAAUACCUUUGCUCAUUGACGUUACCCGCAGAAGAAGCACCGGCUAACUCCGUG